AUUGAACGCUGGCGGCAGGCCUAACACAUGCAAGUCGAACGAGUGGCGGACGGGUGAGUAAUGUCUGGGAAACUGCCUGAUGGAGGGGGAUAACUACUGGAAACGGUAGCUAAUACCGCAUACCAUCGGAUGUGCCCAGAUGGGAUUAGCUAGUAGGUGGGGUAAAGGCUCACCUAGGCGACGAUCCCUAGCUGGUCUGAGAGGAGGACCAGCCACACUGGAACUGAGACACGGUCCAGACUCCUACGGGAGGCAGCAGUGGGGAAUAUUGCACAAUGGGCGAAAGCCUGAUGCAGCCAUGCCGCGUGUAUGAAGAAGGCCUUCGGGUUGUAAAGUACUUUCAGCAGGGAGGCGGUACCUGCAGAAGAAGCACCGGCUAACUCCGUGCCAGCAGCCGCGGUAAUUC
rnacentral:rRNA from 1 species